GACGAACGCUGGCGGCGUGCCUAAUACAUGCAAGUCGAGCGAAUGGAUUAAGAGCUUGCUCUUAUGAAGUUAGCGGCGGACGGGUGAGUAACACGUGGGUAACCUGCCCAUAAGACUGGGAUAACUCCGGGAAACCGGGGCUAAUACCGGAUAACAUUUUGAACCGCAUGGUUCGAAAUUGAAAGGCGGCUUCGGCUGUCACUUAUGGAUGGACCCGCGUCGCAUUUGCUAGUUGGUGAGGUAACGGCUCACCAAGGCAACGAUGCGUAGCCGACCUGAGAGGGUGAUCGGCCACACUGGGACUGAGACACGGCCCAGACUCCUACGGGAGGCAGCAGUAGGGAAUCUUCCGCAAUGGACGAAAGUCUGACGGAGCAACGCCGCGUGAGUGAUGAAGGCUUUCGGGUCGUAAAACUCUGUUGUUAGGGAAGAGCAAGUGCUAGUUGAAUAAGCUGGCACCUUGACGGUACCUAACCAGAAAGCCACGGCUAACUACGUGCCAGCCGCCGCAGUAA
rnacentral:rRNA from 1 species